rnacentral:tRNA from 1 species
GGCGAGAUGGCCGAGCGGUCUAAGGCGCCAGACUAAGGCAAUCACUGGAUUGGCAUCUGGUCCGAAAGGGCGUGGGUUCGAAUCCCACUCUCGUCA